UACGGAGGAUGCAAGCGUUAUCCGGAAUUAUUGGGCGUAAAGCGUCCGCAGGUGGCUGUGUAAGUCUGCUGUUAAAGAGUGAGGCUCAACCUCAUAAAGGCAGUGGAAACUACAUGGCUAGAGUGCGUUCGGGGCAGAGGGAAUUCCUGGUGUAGCGGUGAAAUGCGUAGAGAUCAGGAAGGACACCGGUGGCGAAAGCGCUCUGCUAGGCCGCAACUGACACUGAGGGACGAAAGCUAGGGGAGCGAAUGGG
rnacentral:rRNA from 1 species